GACGAACGCUGGCGGCGUGCCUAAUACACGCAAGUUGAGCGCUGAAGGUUGGUACUUGUACCAACUGGAUGAGCAGCGAACGGGUGAGUAACGCGUGGGGAAUCUGCCUUUGAGCGGGGGACAACAUUUGGAAACGAAUGCUAAUACCGCAUAAAAACUUUAAACACAAGUUUUAAGUUUGAAAGAUGCAAUUGCAUCACUCAAAGAUGAUCCCGCGUUGUAUUAGCUAGUUGGUGAGGUAAAGGCUCACCAAGGCGAUGAUACAUAGCCGACCUGAGAGGGUGAUCGGCCACAUUGGGACUGAGACACGGCCCAAACUCCUACGGGAGACAGCAGUAGGGAACCUUCGGCAAUGGACGAAAGUCUGACCGAGCAACGCCGCGUGAGUGAAGAAGGUUUUCGGAUCGUAAAACUCUGUUGGUAGAGAAGAACGUUGGUGAGAGUGGAAAGCUCAUCAAGUGACGGUAACUACCCAGAAAGGGACGGCUAACUACGUG
rnacentral:rRNA from 1 species